CGCUACACUCGCUCUACGGAACUCUCUUCUGUCUGCAGCGGCGGCGGAGACAAGAGAAAACAGACAUCAGCGUCGCGCAGCGCAACCUUACAAACUGAUAUCCUGUGGUGUGAGGCUGCAGUAACCCUGGAAUCAGCCUGAUUUGUUUCAAAUUAAACACAAGAAAUUUGUUCAACUAAUGCAUAAUGCCACGAUCUGCUGAACUUCCAGAGGAGUUCAAAGAACAGAUUGUUAUGUACCAUAAGGCAGGUAAGGGAUACAAAUCUAUAUCAAAGAUCACUGGACUGCACCAAUCUACAAUCAGAUCCAUAAUCCGCAAAUGGAAAAUGCUUGGAACCGUGAUGAAUCGUCCCAGGAGUGGUCGACCGACUAAAAUCUCUCCGAAGAUGCAACGUAAAAUCAUAAAGGAAGUCGCAAAAAAACCUGAGAUAACGUUGGAAGAGCUGCAGACUUGUCUUGCUAUAGCAAAAGUCAAUGUUCACAAAUCUACGAUCAGGAGGAGAUUGGACCAAAUCAAACUUCGAGAGAUGGUAGCAAAGCGAAGGAACAAGAAAUCAAAUGCUCAUCUUCGAUUUGAGAAACACGCUCAAGUUUUUGAACGAAGUUGUGUAAAGACAGAAGUAGCAGAAGUGGAGGUUUCUGUUUAAAACAAAUAGGUUUACAACAAUUCACACUACAAACACAAUGAAUUCUUAACUCUUCAUGUUGUCCGCAUUUUAAUCAUGCAUUUAACUCAAUUUAAGGUUAAUUUAUCAGUGAUUUUCUUACAACAACUUGAGGACAGUUUCAGUAGACUGACAACAAUAUGGUAACAAUGGCCACUAUGUUGAAUUCCAAAUAUUUAUUGCUUGAUGAUAUAACUAACUAAUACAAGAUGGCUAACAGUCAUGUGCUGAAUGUGCUCACCUCAAAGUCCUGACUGAAAUGCCAUUGGCGAGAACUGCAAAAACUCCAAAAAUGGUCCAGAAUGGUCAUACAUACAGACAAUCAUUACUUUAAGUACAUUUUUACCCAUUGCUUUUCAGUCUACACUUUAUUUUUGUUAAAUUAAUAAUGACACAGUAUGAGAUGGCAUGUGGUCUUCAUUUGAGGUUUAUUUAACAGAUUUUAAAACCUACCAAGGACCAUAUAGUUAUAUUAUUAUGUCCUGAUACUAAAAAAAGCAUGUAACUUUUUCACAUGACUGUGUCGGCCACUCUCAUAUCAGUAUCCAGAAUGUCGUGAACGUCCUUGUAACUGUUUGCUGAAGCUGUGGAUUCAGGGUAAUGAUGUUCAGUUUCUUUAAUUUCACUUCAGAAGACUUCAAUAAAUUGUUCUACUGAAAAAAGUCACCUAUUGGAUAGCUUGAGGGUGAGCAAAUUAACUGAAUUGUUUUUUUUUUACGUUCUUUUUAUUUCAUGCUUGUUUUCUUUUUUUACUUGUAUCUUUUCUGGCACUUUUUUUUAUAAUUUGCUGUGUUUAGCAUGAAUAGUUAUUUCUGUAUAUACUGUAUAUCAGUAAUGUACAAGUCUGCAGUAGAACUUCUGAAAUGGUGUACACACAUCUGAUGAUCAUAAUAAGCCUGUGAUCAUGAGCUUUAAUAAGUGUAAAUCUAGGCAUUUGUGUUAGUUUGUUUUGGCAAAACUUCACAACUAGUAUUCUCAUGGCCAACAUAUUAAAAACAGCUGCAGGUACACCUACAUGUGGAUUUGUACUGUAUAAUAUUUUUCUUUUCUUGUCUUACUGGAUUGUCAGUAACUAUGAAUGUGAUUUUAUUGUUUGUCAUCAUGCGACACAUUGAUUGUUUAAAUGAACUCUAGUCGCACAUGUAAAUUGGCAAGGCGAGCAACUGUCUGUCUUAAUAGUGCCUGCUCCAGACCUUGCCUGAGGACAAAGACGGAUCUCAGCCAGAUCUGUCUGAUAGUGUCAGCGCCAUACUUGAGUCACAUGAAACCAUACACUGUUUUAACUUGGAGUGGGCCAGAUCUGGGCCUAAUAUAAAUGUUGUUUUCCAGUGCGUGUGUGCUGGUUUUGGGCAGAGGACCCUGGCGUAUAGUGGACCAGAACAUAUGCCAGAUACAGAGGUUGGACCAAUUUAGUGUUGGUCUAUUUAGAGGUUUCAUAGCUUAAUUUGACCAGCCUCUUGGCUGAUCUUCAGUGAUUGCACAUUCCAACAGUAAGAGCAGAGUGUGAAGGUUUAACUAGCACAGUUAAAUAGUUACUAUUACUAUUAGCUUAGUAAUAGCACAGAUUUGCUUAAAUAUUGCAAUGCACACAACAUUAUGGGUGAAAUAUCAGAGUUCAAAAGAGGACAAAUUGUUGGUGGCCAUCUCGCUGGCAUCUGUGGCCAAGACAGCAAGUCUUUGUGAUGUAUCAAGAGCCACGAUAUGCAGGCUAAUGUCAGCAUAUCACCAAGAAUCACCACAUCCAACAGGAGUAACUGUCGACACAAGAGGGAGCUGUCUGAAAAGGAUGCCUGUGUGCUAAUCUGGAUUGUACCCAAAAAACAUAAAACCAUAACUGCUAAACUCACUGCAGAAAUAAAUGUGCACCUCAACUCUUCUGUUUCCACCAAAACAAUUAGUCAGGAGCUCCACACGGUCAGUAUACAAGACUGGGCUCCUAUAGCCCUGUCACUCGUGUCAAUGCCAAACGUCAGUUUCAAUGGUGUCAGCAGCGAAAAUAUUAGGCUGUGGACAAUGUGAAACAUGUAUUGUUUUCUUAUGAGUCCACAUUCACUGUCUAUCCCACGUCUGGGAGAGUUACGGUGUGGAGAAGCCCCUAAGAAGUGUAUCACCCAGACUUUUGCAUGCCCAGAGUGAAGAAUGGGGGUGGAUCUAUGGGGUGGAUCAGUGAGGGAUUUGGCUAGGUCCAAUACUUGUGCUAGAUGGGCGUGUCACUGCCAACUUGGACUUGAACUUUGGUUGUAUGCUGAAGGCUGUGCCAUGUAUCAGUAUGAUAACAGCAAGACAAGUUGAUCAUCUCCCAUGGCCUGUACAGUCACCAGAUUUAAAUAUAAUUAAACCACUUUGGGGUGUUUUAGAGGAGUGAGUCAGGAAAUGUUUUCUCCACCAGCAUCACGUAGUGACCUGGCCAAUAUUCUGCAAGAAUAGUGGCUCAAAAUCUCUCUGGCCACUGUGCAGGACAUGUAUCUGUCAAUAUGAAUGGAUGCUGUAUUGGCCCAAAAAUAAUGAAUUAUUGUGGUCUAAAACCAGCGUUUCAGUUUCAUUGUCCAACCUCCAAAGAAUUCGCUGUCUGGGUAUGUUUUUUUAAAAAGGAAAGUUAUUCCAAUUCUGAAUAUGAAAACGUAUGGACAGAUUUUCGAGCAUGUGUGGUUAGAUUUCUUGGAAUCUGGAUGAACUUUUAAAGUACAUAUUCAGAAAAUAGCAGAUAAUUGCAUGUAAAUGUAAUGAGGUGUUUAUUAGGAGCUAAAUGGGGAGUACUUCAUUACUUUCUUAUAAAAAAAUGUUACAGCUCAGCAGCUAAAACACAACUUUUCAAAAUCUAGGCAAUCAAUCAAAGACAAUUAGAAUCUGUUGCUGAGCAGUAAGAUCAUUGCCAACAACAGAAAUACAAAGGGAUGUGGGUUGAUUGCCUCCAAGAUUUAGAGGACUUAUUUAUAUGCAUGUAGUGCAUAUGCACAUAUAUAAAAAAGCAUAAUAAAGAAACAAAUAUGUUAACAAAUACAGCAGUACAGCAUAUAAAGAAUAAUAGAGCUCAAUACAAAUAUUCACAGAUGGUACAAAAGAUCCUGAAUCCAAUUAAGCAGCACCAGUAUACGUUUCAAUGUAAGAAUAUCAAAAAGAGGGUCAAAUCAGACAUUUGUUUUCACCAUAGAGAUUGUAUGUUCCUAGAUGCAGAAAGAAUGUGUAUUGAACAUUGUUAAAUCAGUGUCUAAAUAGAAUAGGAAAGCAUAAAACGUGAGCUUGCGUUUAUUGUGAAAAUGUAGACAAGCAGAAACAAUAGAGCAUGACAGAGAUUUCAAUUAAUCAAGUUAUAUAUUUGGUGUAAACCACUUGUCACUGCAGGUCCUGUUAAGAAUUGGCCGAAACUAGUAUAUCAAUUAAUUUGUUGUUUAAAUUGGUAAAAAUUGAUCAAAAGAAUUUUAAAAUCGUUAAAUUGAAACAUGAAAUAAGUCGUUUGUAUUAAUAAUAGUUUUUUUUUUUCUCCUCCCUCCUGGUAGUCUCCUUCGUCUUUUGAAAUCCUUGAUUUCAUGCUGUUUCAACCAUGUGCUCCACACUAGGUGGCGGGAAUGCACCAUUUAUGUAGGUUUGCAAACCGUUAUUAACCCCAAAAGAAGAAGGAUCUCCAGUCAGGCUGAAGUAACACCACAGACCUAAACCUAUUAUAGCUGGACCUCUGAGACGAGCACAGAAACAUUGUUGACGUGGUUGGACACAUUAAGAUCGACCUGAAUCUUCAUCUGAAUACAGCAGCCUUUCUUGUGUUCCAUAGCCUUUAAAUAGGUGUAAGGUUGCCAGCAAAUCCACAAUGGGACGAUCAAGUGAAAUUCCAGAAGCUGUUAAGGAAAAGAUUGUUUUUUACCAUAAGUCUGGUAAGGGAUACAAAUCCAUUUCAAAGAUUACAGGAAUGCACCGAUCCACCAUCAGAUCCAUCAUCCGCAAAUGGAAAACAACUGGAACCUUAAUGAACCUCCCCAGAAGUGGUCGACCGGUUAAAAUCUCUCCGGGUGUAGAACUCAAAAUCAUGAAUGAAAUCGAAAAGAAACCCGACAUCACUUCUAAAGAACUGCAGGCUUUCCUUGCCCUGACUAAAAUUAAAGUUCAUGACUCUACAAUCAGAAGAACGCUGAGAAAACUAGGCUAUGUCAAAGAGUAUGCAGCUCAAAAACCAUGCAUAAAAGAAGAAAUCGAGUCUCCUGAUUUUGAGGAGAAUGUUUUACAGAAAGAAGAGCUAAAGGGGGAUUUUUCUGUGUAAAAGGAAGUCAGAUUGUUCUAUACUGUACAGUAUUAUAUAUCAUUUUGAAGUAGUCUCAUCGUAUGAGACUCAACUGUAAUAUAAGAGGACUGUUCAUUUAUAUUAUUAUUCAUAUGGAAAGGAAAUUAAAGUGUACAGAAUUUAAGUUAAUUUUGAUUAGUUGCUAUCUGAAAUAUUGAAUCAUCUGUCAAUGAGAUUUAUUGUCAUCUCAUUCAUCCAUUUUGUUUUUGCACAUUAAAAAAUAUAAAAAUUUCUUUAUAUUGCUGCAUGUACAAUGCUUGAAUGAUGAUAAAACUAUUCAGAGAUGGUUAG